rnacentral:lncRNA from 1 species
GCCUGUUGCCCUGCAGGAAAGCAACUAAGUACGCGCGUGCGCAUAACGCGCGUGGGUCCUAAAGUAGUGGUGUUUCGUGAGUUAUCCUUGCAAAUGGGCACCGUGGCCUAGCGCCCCAGGCGUUUCCAUCCGUAACCUUGCACCGAAACCUGCUAGGAGGGGUCUCCGCCGAGCGCCUCGGCCCUGAAGCAUGGCAGCUAUCCCUUCCAGCGGCUCGCUCGUGGCUACCCAUGACUACUAUCGGCGACGUCUGGGCUCCUCGUCCAGCAACAGCUCCGGCGGAAGUGCAGAGUACCCGGGGGACGCCGUGCCCCACUCCCCGGGUCUUCCCAAAGCUGACUCGGGCCACUGGUGGGCCAGCUUCUUUUUCGGGAAAUCCACCCUCCCAUUCAUGGCCGCAGUGUUGGAGUCUCCUGAGCACUCGGCAGAAUCCCCCCAGGCCUCCAGAAGCCCGAUCUCCUGUGGCCUGGCUCCUGAAACCAUGAAGAAGCAGCCAGUCAUGCAUCCUAGCCAGACCAACAGCAGGGCCCCGUCCUGACCUGUCAGAAUCAGCAGACUGCCCAAGUUUAAGUGGUGCUAGACCAGAGCCCACCCUCUCAACCCUCCCUGUAAACUAGGAAGGCUAAACAGACAUGAGCAGGAGCUGGAGAGAGCCUAUUAGUUUACAGCACUGAGCUUUCCUGACCCCAUAACUGUGUCUUCCACAAAGCAGAAAAUAAACUCACAGCAGCCAUCCUC